rnacentral:tRNA from 1 species
AAGAAAUUAGUUAAUUUAUAACAUUAGUAUGUCAAACUAAAAUUAUUAAAUAUUUAAUAUCUCUUA